UUUACUUUAUCUCAAGACCACUGAUUAACCAAGAUGAUAUAUGGACAGACAGACGCACUACACUUCCAAACUAAAAGUGGAGAAGAGCAAUUGAUCCGUGUCAGUGCACACCACCUGAAAAGAAACACAGUUAACAUAUAUGGGAGGAUACAAGGUUGAUUGACAGGUGCAUGUGGCCUCGUAAGGGAGUUUCAAAAAUGGAUUGCCACUGAUCACGGUUAUAAUUUAUUAUAAGCAAGCUGAGUAGUUUACAAGUAACAUGCAGAUUUUUGUAUUCCAAAUUGAAAGAAAAUUGUUAAAUAUAUUCCAUGUAGUCUCUCUGUUGAUAUAAGUGCAUGAAAACCUUAUGUAUAAUAUUUUUCAAAAAGUUUAUUUUUCAUUUCAUAGAUGAUGGUGUAUAGCAGGGCAUAUUGCAGGACACUAUAUGUAGUUUUGUUACAAAAUUUUAUAAAGGAUGUAAUGUACAUUUGCAGUGACAUCUGAGUCUUAUUAUAGGACUCAGUAUGUCUCAGAAUGUGUGUUUAUUCUUAUAUCAGCAAUCCCCUCCCAUUUGGCAGUUAUUAUAGUUAAAUAUACAUGCACACUACCAGACUCAAAUAUUUAGCCACAUAGUUUAUUACAGAUCACAGCAAAUACCGUACAUAAGCAGAAUUAUUACUUUUGCACAGGUUGCUUGUAAUCAGCUCAUUGAAAAUAUGUGUAUCACCAAUCUAAGACAAACAAGCAUGAUUGGACUGUGAUAGACAGGUGUGCUUACAUCUCUUCUAAAAACAUUAGCCCACAUAGGAAGAAUGUCAGGGGCUGUGCUGCUUUAAUUACCCUCACACUCUCAUCAUUCCCUUCCUGCCCCCUCUCUCACCCCCAUCUCACCUUAAAAUCUGUGCCACAACACAAAAUUUUAUUAGCAUUCUCAAAAACAGAUGCAGUUGUUUUCAAUCAAGCGGAAAUGCAUGGAUGACUCAGUCUUGCAAAGUGAAUCCGCCCAUUUACCAUGACAACCUUUUUCACCAGGGACAUAG